rnacentral:rRNA from 1 species
ACAGCAGCCGCCGCGGGAAUACAGAGGGUGCGAGCGUUAAUCGGAUUUACUGGGCGUAAAGCGUGCGUAGGCGGCUUCUUAAGUCGGAUGUGAAAUCCCUGAGCUUAACUUAGGAAUUGCAUUCGAUACUGGGAAGCUAGAGUAUGGGAGAGGAUGGUAGAAUUCCAGGUGUAGCGGUGAAAUGCGUAGAGAUCUGGAGGAAUACCGAUGGCGAAGGCAGCCAUCUGGCCUAAUACUGACGCUGAGGUACGAAAGCAUGGGGAGCAAACAGGAUUAGAGACCCCCGUAGUCCCUGUCUCUUAUAC